AAUAGAUACCCAGGUAGUCCACGCUGUAAACGGUGGGUACUAGGUGUGGGGUCCAUUCCACGGGUUCCGUGCCGUAGCUAACGCUUUAAGUACCCCGCCUGGGGAGUACGGCCGCAAGGCUAAAACUCAAAGGAAUUGACGGGGCCCCGCACAAGCGGCGGAGCAUGCGGAUUAAUUCGAUGCAACGCGUAGAACCUUACCUGGGUUUGACAUGGAUCGGGAGCGCUCAGAGAUGGGUGUGCCUCUUUUGGGGUCGGUUCACAGGUGGUGCAUGGCUGUCGUCAGCUCGUGUCGUGAGAUGUUGGGUUAAGUCCCGCAACGAGCGCAACCCUUGUUCACUGUUGCCAGCACGUUAUGGUGGGGACUCAGUGGAGACCGCCGGGGUCAACUCGGAGGAAGGUGGGGAUGACGUCAAGUCAUCAUGCCCCUUAUGUCCAGGGCUUCACGCAUGCUACAAUGGCUGGUACAGAGAGUGGCGAGCCUGUGAGGGUGAGCGAAUCUCGGAAAGCCGGUCUCAGUUCGGAUUGGGGUCUGCUAACCG
rnacentral:rRNA from 1 species